CCUACGGGCGGCAGCAGUGGGGAAUAUUGGACAAUGGGCGAAAGCCUGAUCCAGCCAUGCCGCGUGUGUGAAGAAGGCCUUCGGGUUGUAAAGCACUUUCAGUGGGGAAGAAAGCCUUGGGGCUAAUACCCUCGAGGAAGGACAUCACCCACAGAAGAAGCACCGGCUAACUCCGUGCCAGCAGCCGCGGUAAUACGGAGGGUGCGAGCGUUAAUCGGAAUUACUGGGCGUAAAGCGCGCGUAGGCGGUCUGAUAAGCCGGUUGUGAAAGCCCCGGGCUCAACCUGGGAACGGCAUCCGGAACUGUCCGGCUAGAGUGCAGGAGAGGAAGGUAGAAUUCCCGGUGUAGCGGUGAAAUGCGUAGAGAUCGGGAGGAAUACCAGUGGCGAAGGCGGCUUUCUGGACUGACACUGACGCUGAGGUGCGAAAGCGUGGGUAGCAAACAGGAUUAGAUACCCCGGUAGUC
rnacentral:rRNA from 1 species